CGGGUGCUAGUUCUGGUGGCUGCGGCUGUCGGCGUCGGGCGGAGAGCUCGAAGGCUUCUGUGUCCCGUUCGGUGUUGUUUCGGAGCCGUUACGUUUUAAUACCGGUAUCAUUAUGUUGAGAAGCUUGAAAAGAAGCGAGGGAUGAAGUGUGGAGUAAAAUAGCGGAAAGCGAGUAAAGUUUGUAGAAAAGAAAAUCUCGAUUCCAAAUUCUGGUUUCGCUUUUUUCUCUGUAACCGGGCUGCCCGUUUCCGCAAAUUUUAUAUGAAAAUGGCUCCCUUUGUCGGUAAGCUUCUUAUUUUAUUUUACUUUGUUGUAGUUUUUUUUUUUUUCUGAAAGUUGAUAUAUGGUAUCCUUCUAGCAUAAAUAUAUUUAAAAAAUUAAGAAAAAG
rnacentral:lncRNA from 1 species